CCUACGGGAGGCAGCAGUGGGGAAUAUUGGACAAUGGGGGGAACCCUGAUCCAGCCAUGCCGCGUGCAGGAAGACGGCUCUAUGAGUUGUAAACUGCUUUUGUACAAGGGUAAACCUGAAUACGUGUAUUCAGCUGAAAGUACUGUACGAAUAAGGAUCGGCUAACUCCGUGCCAGCAGCCGCGGUAAUACGGAGGAUCCAAGCGUUAUCCGGAUUUAUUGGGUUUAAAGGGUGCGUAGGCGGAUUGAUAAGUUAGAGGUGAAAUGUCCGAGCUUAACUCGGGAACUGCCUCUAAUACUGUUGAUCGAGAGAGUAGAUGCGGUAGGCGGAAUGUAUGGUGUAGCGGUGAAAUGCUUAGAGAUCAUACAGAACACCGAUUGCGAAGGCAGCUUACCAAUCUAUAUCUGACGUUGAGGCACGAAAGCGUGGGGAGCAAACAGGAUUAGAUACCCGUGUAGUC
rnacentral:rRNA from 1 species